CCUACGGGAGGCAGCAGUGAGGACUAUUGGUCAAUGGGCGAGAGCCUGAACCAGCCAAGUCGCGUGAGGGAGUACUGCCCUAUGGGUUGUAAACCUCUUUUGUCGGGGAGCAAAAGCCGGACGUGUCCGGCUGUGAGAGUACCCGAAGAAAAAGCAUCGGCUAACUCCGUGCCAGCAGCCGCGGUAAUACGGAGGAUGCGAGCGUUAUCCGGAUUUAUUGGGUUUAAAGGGUGCGCAGGCGGGUUUUUAAGUCAGCGGUAAAAUCGUGGGGCUCAACCCCAUCCAGCCGUUGAAACUGGGGAUCUAGAGUGUGCGAGAGGUAUGCGGAAUGCGUGGUGUAGCGGUGAAAUGCAUAGAUAGCACGCAGAACCCCGAUUGCGAAGGCAGCAUACCGGUGCACAACUGACGCUCAGGCACGAAAGCGUGGGUAUCGAACAGGAUUAGAUACACCUGUAGUC
rnacentral:rRNA from 1 species